AUGUGGCUGGCUGUCCACGGUAGAUGUCUGACAGCUGACAACCUAGAGCGGAGGAACUGGCCAUCCAACGGCAUCUGUCCUCUUUGCGCUUCUGAGCCUGAGUCCUGCUCACAUCUCUUUGUGCACUGCAGUUUCACCAAGCUAGUUUGGCUUCAUUUUAAGGCACAGACGAGGGCUGAUUUCCUGAUCCCUGAUGUUACCUUCAGCUCUACAGAAGAGUGGUGGUUGAAGGCAAGGGCGACGAUCCCGAAGCCAAUGCGGAGGAACUUCGACACGAUUGUCAUUCUUCUUCACUGGAGGAUUUGGAAGGAAAGGAACGCGAGGAUCUUUGAUAAUGUGGCAAGUUCCGCUGAUAAGAUUCGGGACCUGAUCCUGGAGGAUAUCGGCGUCUGGAGGGCCGCGGGUUGUAUUAGCGAUUUGGUGGCAUGA
rnacentral:rRNA from 1 species